rnacentral:rRNA from 1 species
UACGGGAGGCAGCAGUGGGGAAUAUUGCACAAUGGGCGAAAGCCUGAUGCAGCUAUGCCGCGUGUAUGAAGAAGGCCUUAGGGUUGUAAAGUACUUUCAUCGGGGAGGAAAAACAAAACUAAUAAUUUUAUUUCUUGACGUUACCCGAAAAAGAAGCACCGGCUAACUCCGUGCCAGCAGCCGCGGUAAUACGGAGGGUGCUAGCGUUAAUCAGAAUUACUGGGCGUAAAGAGCACGUAGGUGGUUUUUUUAAGUCAGAUGUGAAAUCCCUGGGCUUAACCUAGGAACUGCAUUUUGAAACUGAAAUACUAGAGUAUCGUAGAGGGAGGUAGAAUUCUAGGUGUAGCGGUGAAAUGCGUAGAUAUCUGGAGGAAUACCUGUGGCGAAAGCGGCCUCCUAAACGAAUACUGACACUGAGGUGCGAAAGCUGGGGAGCAAACAGGGAUUAGAUACC